GGUGAGAUGGCCGAGCGGUCUAAGGCGCCAGACUAAGGCUUUGUUCUAUAAUCUGGUCCUCACGGGCGUGGGUUCGAAUCCCACUCUCAUCA